rnacentral:rRNA from 1 species
UACGUAGGGUGCAAGCGUUGUCCGGAAUUAUUGGGCGUAAAGAGCUCGUAGGCGGUCUGUCGCGUCGGCUGUGAAAUCCUGGAGCUCAACUCCGGGUCUGCAGUCGAUACGGGCAAACUGGAGUACUGCAGGGGAGACUGGAAUUCCUGGUGUAGCGGUGAAAUGCGCAGAUAUCAGGAGGAACACCGGUGGCGAAGGCGGGUCUCUGGGCCACUACUGACGCUGAGAAGCGAAAGCAUGGGGAGCGAACAGG